CUCUGCCUCUCUCUUCCUCUCUCUGUUUCUCUCUCCCUCCUUCCCUUUGUCUCUCUGUGUCUGUCUCUGUCUCUGUCUCUCUCUUCCUCUCUCUCUCUAUCACUCUGUCUGUCUCUUCCCCUCUCUCUUUGCCUUUCUCUCUCUCUGUUACCAAAACUUACCACUUUUUCCUGUUCGAUCCCUGCAGAGAGCACCAAUUUUAUUUAUUUAUAAAACAGUAACAACAGUGAAAUUACUGAGAACCAUAAAAAGCAGUUAAAAACUAAAAGCUUGAAGUGUUGAUGCUCUGAAAUUAUCCUGAUUUGAUAGAGCUAGCAUUGCCUUCCUCUGUCAUGUUUUGGGGACAUAGUAGCCUGGAAGUUUGAAAAUGCCCAGCCACCCUGAAAUUCACCAUGGAAAGAGGAAUGCCUUUUCUUCAUAUCAAUGUAAUUGGAUGCGCAGGGAUCUCCUGUCAUUCAACAAACACUUCUUAGUUCCAACUGACUGCCGGACCAAAUUAUGCAGAUGCCCAACAAAGAAAAUUCAUCCCCUGUUUUCAAGAACUGUACCUUGAAGACAAGAAAACAAACCAUUUCAAAGAAAGACUGAAAGUAACCAACAACCCCCAGCCGUCAGACAUGUAUUUCUUGGUCACGUCAUAUGCAGGAGGCCACAGCUUGCUUCCUGUGGUUCUGUGUACCUUCUCAUUCUGGGACUUGGGACAGAAGAACAGAAGUGCUAGUGGAAAUUUGUGAUGCCUUUGAUCAAGCUUCCGCUCCAGGUAGACUAAUCUGCUGCUCGCACUGGCACUGGCCACAGCGUGUCAAUGCCAAGUCUUGCCACAGGGGGCACUGUGAGCCACACUGCAACAGGCAUGUAUGCUCUACAGGGAAAAGGAAGCAAAUGAUCAGCAAAAGUAGCACAGUUUCCUACAGCGCCCUAGGAGUCAUUCUGAGGGUGUCGAGAGGACAAGAUUUUGUGGAAGACACAACUAUUUAGAAGGCCUUCAAGGAAGAGGGGACUUACUCUUGACUGUGUUGGGCCAGUCCCUCUCUCUUUCUAAAACCUCUCUAUGCUCACACUUUUAUGCAGUCUAAUCCAUAUCAGCGUAAGUGUUCAUAAAUUAGUUCGCUCUGGUCUGAGCGGGAUGGUUUCCUUGCCUGGGAAGAGGAGUGAAAAAGUACACAAAAUUUCCACUCGGGGAGCGAAAUCUACAGAAAUUUAAAUGAGGUAAAUGAAAUUUAACAGUUGAGAAAUUACAACUGUGAAGAAGUAGGUUAAUCCAGGGACGAAAGGGAGUGAAUCAAGAGAAACAUAUAAGAAGCUGAAUUUAAUUAAGGGACCUAGAAAGAAGAUAUUAGUAGCCAUUCUCCAUGAGGAAUAAUAAAUGAAAGAUUGCAUGUCAUUUGGGGUUGUAAAGGCCUAAAUUAUGGUCCUCCUCAUGCUCCACUCCUGAAAAAAAUUAUUUAUUUAAUCUGUCUGUGAAAAUUUCACAGAUGGAGGGAGCAAAGCAGGCUGAUUACAGUGUGUUUAUUUGUUUGCUUGUAAGGAAUUCUUAUUGCCUUGGCCACCAGGAGCAAAACAAUUCCCAGUACGGGAGAACAGAAAAAUGGUCCCUUUUUUCCUAAGUGUGGCUGGUGAACCAAGGGAAGUUGGAUGAGGCAGGAAUGGGCACGUUGCCCAAAAUACUUCAUUGCUCACAUUGCACGUCCUUUAAUUUUUAAUAUAUUUUAUUUCUGUGUUCGGCAAGGUUUUGUUUUUUUAACCUCCUGGUGCAAAAUCAUUCUGUUAAAACCUCUGGAAUUAACAUGCCAAACGCCAACUGCAAUGUGUAAGGGCUGUGAGAUACUUCUCCAGUGAUUUUCAAUUUGAAAACUUGAAAACCUGUUCUCCUCAAAGGAAAAGCACAAUUUUAAUAUUUUAAAAAUAGUGUGGUGAUGGUAAUAAAAUGAUAGCAGUGUUUCCCUCUAAAGCUACCUUUGGGGUCCUGGGUGGGCCCCAUGAGGGGUGAAGGUGGUGAGUGCCAGUCCUUCUGGCCAUGCGAGAUGAAGUCACAUAAAUAGAAGCGACCACCAAGAAAAGAGGCAGAUCUGAAGUAAGACAAAAGCAUUUAUUUGGAUUUCUCAGAAUCGCAAUUUGGGGAGCAGAGAUUUGGGUAGAAACCCAAGUCGUGUCCACUAGGGAACAAAAGUCAAGGGUUGUUAAAGACAAAAAGGAAUGCUUGUAUAGAUUGUUUACAAAGAAUGUGGAUUGAUGUUGAUGGCAGAAAACUAAUCUUGGCUACCUGUAAUUGGUUGCUAAGGCUUUCAUUCACUAAGGAAAAGGCUAUUACUGUGGCAACUUGCAAGUUUUUGUGCAGAGUCCUUGGAUUACUUGCCAUUUGGCCCAGUUCAAAAGUUCAUGGUUCUAUCCAGGGAGAACAUGCAUAAGGCCCACCUCCUUAAUGAUUUCCUGGCUCCAUCGUAAACACCUUGACAUAAGUAACUCUAUUUUAUUUCAACUCUCACAGAAAGAGGAAGGCCUCUUUGGAGUUCUGUGUCCACAACCUGCUAGCAGUGGUCUCGGCUAAUAAGAAUAAAGCAUUUAUUACACACGCUGAGUGCCACAUAUGGUUCUAAACUUUUACGUGGAUUCACUCAUAUAAUCCUGGUGACAAUAUCAUGUGAGAUAGAUAUUCUUUUUUUUUUUUUAAAGAUUUUAUUUAUUUAUUUGAGAGAGAGAGAAUGAGAGAGAGCGAGUACAUGAGAGGGGGGAGGGUCAGAGGGAGAAGCAGACUCCCUGCCGAGCAGGGAGCCCGAUGCGGGACUCGAUCCAGUGACUCCAGGAUCAUGACCUGAGCCGAAGGCAGUCGCUUAACCAACUGAGCCACCCAGGCGCCCCGUGAGAUAGAUAUUCUUUUCUUUCCCAUUUUCUAGAUGAGAAAACUGAGGCCCAAUAACUUGUCCCAAAUAUGUAAAGAUCUUCUAUAAGUUGAUAACAAAAAGAUAACCCAAUAGGGGGAAAAAAUGAGCAAAAGAUAUGAAUUGGCACUUCAUAAAAGGGGAUAUCCAAAUAGUCCUUAAAUGCAGGAAAAUGUGACUGACCUCACUGGUCAUCACAAAAAUCCAAAUUAAAACCAGAAUGACACACCACUGCAUACUUGACUGAGUGCCUACAAUUAAAUAGACUGAUGGCACAAAGUGCUUGAGAAGAAGCAGAGCAAUGGAAACUCACACACUCCUGUGGGGAAGGAGUUGGCCCAGCCUCUCUGGAAAACAGUUUGAUAUUGACCACUCAAGUCCUACAUUUGCAAGUCCUUUGAUACAGCAAUUCCACUCCCAAGUAUAGAGCAAUGUGCACCAACAAAAUCAGGCACUAGAGUGUUCAUAGAAGCAUGAUCUGAAAAAUCCUUAACAGGAAACAACCCAAAUACCAUCGACAGUAGGAUGACUAAGAACAUUCAGUAUUCGCAUACUUUUAACAGUAACAAUGAAUUUCAGCUCCAUGAAACAGCAUGGAUGAAUCUCAUAAACAUCAUUGAAUAAAAGAUUGAAACACAGAAGAAUACUGUAUGAUUGCACUUAAAUAAAGUUCCAAAGUUUGCAAAAUUAGU